UUGGUGUAAGAUUUAGAGGCGAUUCGCGAUUUGGAUUAGGCACCAAGGUUGGAAUAAGCACAAGCCGAAUUCAAGCGCGAGGAGAAGUUUAUGGAUGGUUAACAAGCUCAUACCGACACCGUUGAAGCAGUGCGACCGCACGCAGUCAGGUAAUCAUUUUGUUAAGAUUUCAUUGGUGCAUCACUGCUCAUACUCUAUUUGUCAGUUGUAUGGCUUAUUGUUGUGUUGCUUUUGUUGAGUGUUGUUGGUACCGAAUUAUUACGAACAUGUUUGCGCUGAUAUAACUAUGGAUUGGGUAUUGUUUGUAUGAUUACAUACUGUUUCUGAUCUGGAUUUAUAUUGGACCUCAUUGAGUUUGAGUUUUCUUGUAAGAGUUGAACAAGGGGUUUUGAACAUCUUAAAUGUUUGUGUACUCAUACUGUUUACAUUC
rnacentral:lncRNA from 1 species